UACGGAAGGCAGCAGUGGGGAAUAUUGCACAAUGGGCGAAAGCCUGAUGCAGCUAUGCCGCGUGUAUGAAGAAGGCCUUAGGGUUGUAAAGUACUUUCAUCGGGGAGGAAAAACAAAACUAAUAAUUUUAUUUCUUGACGUUACCCGAAAAAGAAGCACCGGCUAACUCCGUGCCAGCAGCCGCGGUAAUACGGAGGGUGCUAGCGUUAAUCAGAAUUACUGGGCGUAAAGAGCACGUAGGUGGUUUUUUUAAGUCAGAUGUGAAAUCCCUGGGCUUAACCUGGAACUGCAUUUUGAAACUGAAAUACUAGAGUAUCGUAGAGGGAGGUAGAAUUCUAGGUGUAGCGGUGAAAUGCGUAGAUAUCUGGAGGAAUACCUGGUGGCGAAAGCGGCCUCCUAAACGAAUACUGACACUGAGGUGCGAAAGCGUGGGGAGCAAACGAGGAUUAGAUACC
rnacentral:rRNA from 1 species